AGAGUUUGAUCCUGGCUCAGGAUGAACGCUGGCGGCGUGCCUAAUACAUGCAAGUAGAACGCUGAAGCUUGGUGCUUGCACCGAGCGGAUGAGUUGCGAACGGGUGAUUAACGCGUAGGUAACCUGCCUCUUAGCGGGGGAUAACUAUUGGAAACGAUAGCUAAUACCGCAUAAAAGUCGAUAUCGCAUGAUGUUGAUUUGAAAGGUGCAAUUGCAUCACUAAGAGAUGGACCUGCGUUGUAUUAGCUAGUUGGUGAGGUAACGGCUCACCAAGGCAACGAUACAUAGCCGACCUGAGAGGGUGAUCGGCCACACUGGAACUGAGACACGGUCCAGACUCCUACGGGAGGCAGCAGUAGGGAAUCUUCCGCAAUGGGCGAAAGCCUGACGGAGCAACGCCGCGUGAGUGAUGAAGGUCUUCGGAUCGUAAAACUCUGUUAUUAGGGAAGAACAAAUGUGUAAGUAACUAUGCACGUCUUGACGGUACCUAAUCAGAAAGCCACGGCUAACUACGUGCCAGCAGCCGCGGUAAUACGUAGGUGGCAAGCGUUAUCCGGAAUUAUUGGGCGUAAAGCGCGCGUAGGCGGUUUUUUAAGUCUGAUGUGAAAGCCCACGGCUCAACCGUGGAGGGUCAUUGGAAACUGGAAAACUUGAGUGCAGAAGAGGAAAGUGGAAUUCCAUGUGUAGCGGUGAAAUGCGCAGAGAUAUGGAGGAACACCAGUGGCGAAGGCGACUUUCUGGUCUGUAACUGACGCUGAUGUGCGAAAGCGUGGGGAGCAAACAGGAUUAGAUACCCUGGUAGUCCACGCCGU
rnacentral:rRNA from 1 species